AUGAGUGCAGUGAGCUUUAUUUAGAAAUUCCUGAAAUGAUAAUAAUGAUCCUUUUAGUCUUCCUGAAACAAGAUGCAGAGAAGACUGGCAAUGCUUGUUUGAUUGUCCAGAUGGUGGCUGUGGCUCAAAUGAAUUUUCUGCUGACUUCUGCAUGAAGAAAUUUAAUUUCAUCCUUGCAGUUCUUUUUUCAUUUCACGGUAGAUGUAAUUGCUAACUGGGAUGCAAACAAUUUAAUUCUCCAAUGUAUCUUGAUGUGGGAUAUUCUUUUUCUGCUUAUUUGCAAGAGUGUUUCUGGGGAGUGAUGCAUUGGUCUGGUGUGUCUUGUGCCCCUUAGAGACCUUGGGCUGCUGGUUUCAGAGGGCUUCUGUGACUCUGCCUGGCCAAGAAGCUGGGCAGUAAGGUUCCCUAGAGAUGUCACACUGUGUUAAGUGAAUUAGAUUUGGACUGUGCAGCCAGUGGUUCUUACCAGCUCCAGCAUGAUCCUUUUUAGCAGGUGGAUUAAGUCUAUCAGCUCUGCAGUCCCUGGCUUCCAUCAGUCAUGAGCCUGUGGAUUCGUUGGCACAGGAAAAGGUAAGUCCCUUAAAAGGGAAUUUUCUUUGGAAUAAAUCCACCCCAUCAAACCCAGCAUCACUUUCAGAUAGUUUUUGAAGAGGCAAUUGUAAGAGUUAGCACUGUGUAUUUAGCCCUUUAUUACUAAUGCUGCACAUGCCAAAUUGCCAUAACUUGGAUCAUAGCUCUCAUGUUUCUCAGUGUGACUUUUUGAGUCUGACAAAGUUCCACUGGAUCCAAGGGGAGCACAGAGUGCUCAGGAGCAGUUCUGUGGCUCUUCCAUGUGGGGUCCUGUUUGGACAGGGUGGGAGACAAAUGACAGACUGCAGUUGCUGGCAUCUGCAGAAGCUACUGAUGGAUGCUGUCACUCAUCUCACUCUGCAGUAGUGGUGCUGCAGCUGAUCCCAAGAACUGUGCAAGAACAAGUGAGCUGAGCAAGAGCCAUGCCUUCCAAAUGUUUUGAGGGCAUUCUUCUUGAGUGUGUGAAGGUGCUGACCUCCUUUCCAGAAGAUUAUGGUAGAAUUACCUUCUUUCAAGUGCAAUAACUGGUCAUUGCCUUCACUGCCCCGUCAAGACUUAGCAAAAGGAAUAUUAAGUGUACAGAUGUUUGCUCUGUGGAAAACAUUAAGUAUCCCUCAGGUACAAUCAGGGCAUACAGCUUUCUCUCUCUUGUUUAGAAGCUCAUCAAUGGAUUGUGAUUCUUGAUGUCCAAAAAUAAUUGCAUGAGUAAGACUUCCACUGUCUGUGGCAUAAGAGGAUAAUAUCUAGAUAUUUACAAUUCUUACUGUUCCACAGUGAACAUUGUGCAGCAGUGGAAGGAACUUUGACCAUUGUCUGAGUGAACUCACCUGCCCCUACUGCAGGUCUUGACCACAUAGGAAUUAAAAUGCAUUUCAGUUUUUGUUUCUUAAUCUAUAAAAUUUAUAUAGAUUCCAGAGGAAGAGCAUUAAGAAAAUAGUAAUGGAACAAAAAUUUAAAAACUGGGGAAGAGGAAUAAAUGUUAAAAACUGUUCCUGACUCACUUUCUAGACAAGUAGUGAGAGAUUUUCAGUUUCCUAUCCAUUUGAAGGAUCUCUGCAGAGGACACUACACUUGUCUUGCCAUAUUUCCAUCCUUUUUGAUUGGAAAACAGGUGCUGAAUCCUGAGCUAGCAUUCAUUGAAAAUUACAGUACUGAUGCACUGUAGCUUUCACUACUGAAGCUUCUGAUGUAGCAAAUAUGAGUUGUUAUAAUCCAUGUUACAUUGUAGGCAGCUUGACAUGGAAACUCCCUCUUGUUAAGUCAACAAACAUGAUGGUAUCUGACUCUCUCCUUUUCUUGCUCAUUUUGCUCUUACAGUUUUCUAACUGUAGUCACUUUCCUUCUUACAUGCUAACAUUUGUGUUGGCUUUUUCUCAGCUAGUUGAGGGAGCUUUAUAUUCAUACAUUUCAUUUAAUUUACCCCUAGGAUUAACAUUUUAGGGAGAAGUUCAUUGUUCCUGAUAACAAAAUCCUUUCUCUUCUAGUCAAGACAUCUGCUUUGUUCUGUGCUUUAUUCCCCAGAAACUAGGAAAUGUUCCCACUUCAAUAUUAAGCUAAAAUUGCUCUUUGCUAGUUGCAUGUAGAAGUACAGGAUAAGUUUUUAUCACUGUUUAUAAUACUUUUAUUUCUGUACUUUCAUGGUCAAGGGAAAAAAAAAAUCUAAUGUGUGUUUUUAAAUGUUAGUAAUGAGAACUUUAAAAAUUAUAUUGAAUUAAAAAAAAAAAAAAAACCCAAACAUUAAAAAAAUCCUGAAACAUUCCAAAAUAAAAAAAGCCCAAUGGUUGGAAAAGGUAGAAGUGGCAACCACUAUCUUUUCCUUUCAAUGUCUUCCCUAUAGAGAUGGAAUCUAAACUGCAUUGAUUUUCAGUACUUUGCUCUUGUAUAGUCAUGUUUAGAUUCUCUAGUAUUAUGCAGCUUGUCUGUGUGCCAGUUAGAUUUGAUUAAGAAAAUAAAGAAGUUAAUUUUUUUUUUAAAGUUCCAGGUUAUAUAAGAAGCAAGUUACUUCUCCUAGGUCAGCAGACAUAUAAUAAAUACCAUGAAAGCCAAGUGCUUGGAGAGCUUCCUAGCAUUUAAGAGUAGUGGAAAUUUCCUUAGUUGCAGUCUUCAGCUCAGACACAACCUCAUUCUCAUGCUUUCACAGCCUGCUUUUACUUUUAACUUGAAGAGGAGUAACAUAAAUGGAAGUACUCAAUAUUGACUGCUUGCUAGUUCUUUUUAAUUCUUGAGUGAAGCAUUUCUGCCUUAAGAUUUAUUUAUUUUUGGAUUUUGGAAAUAACUUUAUUAGUAAUUGUGACACACUGCAGAGUCCUUUAGCUUUUCUAAUUGCUUUGGAAUAUAAAAUAUUUAAUGUGAAUGUUAAAUGUCAAUUUUUCUCCCUUUGGUAGUUCUCCUCUUCCCUUCCUCCCCACUUUGUGGACAAACCUUUGCCAGUUUUAGUCUUCACCUGUAGUAUUUCCACCACUGUUGGAAUUCUUUUUACUCUGACACAUUUACACAGAUGUAAUUAUUUUUUGUAAUUCCACAUUCAUAAUAUUCAUAUUGCAAUGUGCUCCCAUUAGUUCUUACUUCCCACUAUUGAUGCUGUUUUAUUAAAUAUUGGGAGUUUUGUAAUUGUUUUCUGUUACAACACACCUAUGAUUUUAUUCACUGAAAAGAAUCCUGUUUGCUUUAUGUGUUUGUGUAUAUAAUGUAUAUGGUUUCAAGUUACCCGUUCUGUUAUUCUUGUCAACUGAUAUAUUGCUGACUGAAUUCUAAAGUGUUAAUUUUAAAACAUACCUAAAGUUUCAGUUAAAAAAAUAAAAGGACUGUCUGUCCCUGUAAGAUUUGAAGAGCAACACUAAAAUAUUUUUGGAGUAAUAUACUAUUGUACUCAGCCUCAUUCCUGUCUCUGCAUUGCCUGCCUGUUGCCUUUUACUUUCAAAGCUGGUGGUACAAGUAAACACUUCAAAGAUUGAGGAAGAGGAUGCACUUGAGCUCCCCUCAAAGCACUUUAGAGAGGAAGUACAGCUGACUCAUCAAUGAAAUUGUCUAUACAGCAAAUGCUGGUGGGAGCCGUAACUCUUAGUGUAAGGACUCUGUUGUAGGCUGGAGGAAGAGGAAGACUUCAAUAAAGAGGAUAACUGGUGCUCUCCCCACUUUCCUGGUGGCACAGUGGGACUUUUCCCGCUGCUGCUGGUGCCCAGAUGGUCUCCUUGCAGGAGGAGCAGCCUCA